rnacentral:rRNA from 1 species
UAAUACGGAGGAUGCAAGCGUUAUCCGGAUUUAUUGGGUUUAAAGGGUGCGCAGGUGGUUUAAUAAGUCAGUGGUGAAAGUCUGCCGCUUAACGGUAGGAUUGCCAUUGAUACUGUUGGACUUGAAUAUGGAUGAGGUAGGCGGAAUGUGUAGUGUAGCGGUGAAAUGCUUAGAUAUUACACAGAACACCGAUUGCGAAGGCAGCUUACUAAUCCAUGAUUGACGCUGAGGCACGAAAGCGUGGGGAUCAAACAGG